UGCGUAGGCGGGCUAAUAAGUCAGUGGUGAAAUCUCUCGGCUCAACCGGGAAACUGACAUUGAUACUGUUAGUCUUGAGUUCGGUUGAGGUAGGCGGAAUGUGUAAUGUAGCGGUGAAAUGCUUAGAUAUUACACAGAACACCAAUUGCGUAGGCAGCUUACUAGACCGACACUGACGCUGAGGCACGAAAGCGUGGGGAGCGAACAGGAUUAGAUACCCUGGUAGUCC
rnacentral:rRNA from 1 species